rnacentral:lncRNA from 1 species
AAAAGGAUUUUAUAAAGAAAAGUUGGGGAAACCUUUUAAAAACUCGAAGUAAAGCAUGAAUAUACACAGAUCUGAAGAGAAUCAGAGAAAAACCUCAAACAACUAGGUUUCAGGUGAACCCUAGUGCGAGAAAGGCUUUGAAAAUGUCCUAUCGAAGUCGGAUAAGACUGAAAAUAGGCUUAGGAGGCUAAAAUAUGCCGGAG